rnacentral:rRNA from 1 species
AGUAACCUGCCCUUAACUCUGGGAUAAGCCUGGGAAACUGGGUCUAAUACCGGAUAGGAGCGUCCACCGCAUGGUGGGUGUUGGAAAGAUUUAUCGGUUUUGGAUGGACUCGCGGCCUAUCAGCUUGUUGGUGAGGUAAUGGCUCACCAAGGCGACGACGGGUAGCCGGCCUGAGAGGGUGACCGGCCACACUGGGACUGAGACACGGCCCAGACUCCUACGGGAGGCAGCAGUGGGGAAUAUUGCACAAUGGGCGCAAGCCUGAUGCAGCGACGCCGCGUGAGGGAUGACGGCCUUCGGGUUGUAAACCUCUUUCAGUAGGGAAGAAGCGAAAGUGACGGUACCUGCAGAAGAAGCACCGGCUAACUACGUGCCAGCAGCCGCGGUAAUACGUAGGGUGCGAGCGUUAUCCGGAAUUAUUGGGCGUAAAGAGCUCGUAGGCGGUUUGUCGCGUCUGUCGUGAAAGUCCGGGGCUUAACCCCGGAUCUGCGGUGGGUACGGGCAGACUAGAGUGCAGUAGGGGAGACUGGAAUUCCUGGUGUAGCGGUGGAAUGCGCAGAUAU